rnacentral:rRNA from 1 species
UACGGAGGAUCCAAGCGUUAUCCGGAUUUAUUGGGUUUAAAGGGUGCGUAGGCGGGUAAUCAAGUCAGCGGUGAAAGUUUGCGGCUCAACCGUAAAAUUGCCGUUGAAACUGGUUACCUUGAGUGUAGAUGAGGUGGGUGGAAUUCGUGGUGUAGCGGUGAAAUGCUUAGAUAUCACGAAGAACUCCAAUUGCGUAGGCAGCUCACUGGGCUACAACUGACGCUGAGGCACGAAGGUGCGGGGAUCAAACAGGAUUAGAAACCCCGAGUAGUCC